GGCUGGGCUGGGGGAGCAACCUCCAGCCCUGGGACUGGCGGGAGGUGGAGGGGAAGAUAGUGGGGCUCAGCCUUUUUACAUUCCUGGAAGAUGCCUGCUCUUUGUUUUGGUCUCUCAAUUCUAAUCCUCAAAGGGAAUUUACAAAACACCUUUCACAGAUGAGCCUGCAAACUUUAUCAACCUACUGUAUACAAAAAAUCAUGGACUAAACACAGACAUUGGAUUUAUGACACAUCAUAACCUGCCUAACAUCUGACAGCCCAGGAAGAGCACAGGCCAAUUGCAGAUGCUUCCUCAGCCUGAUGAAGG